GGGCGUCUAGCUCAACGGUAGAGCCGGCUGCUCAUAACAGUCCAAAUAUCGGUUCAAAUCCGGUGGCGCCCA
rnacentral:tRNA from 1 species